UAAAUCUAUGCAUGCAGUAAUAACUUACAGUUUUUUACCGUACCAAAUAUCUUACGUAAACAAUUUUUUUUUUUUUUUUUAUAAGACUGUUGGUAGUAUAAUUCAAGCGAUAAAUGAAUGGAGGUAUUUGCAUAAAUUAGGGCCAAUUCUGACAACUGACGAUACUGAACUGACAAGUGACUAAUUGUGUCAGCUCUCUCUCUGUCGGGACCACGCACACUCUUCUCAAACUCAGACUUAAUACACUUUUCUUUUUUUUUUUUUUUUUUCUUAGCUUUGAUGUUUCUAUUACGGAGGACGUCCUCUCUCCGUUUUGGUCCCUGUACGGCGCCGUUUCGAUUCUCUUUUUUUCCUUUAGGUCCCCACUUUGGGAUACAUCACAUGAUGUUCUUCACUCUCAUAGCCGUACGAUCUUGUAUUUUUGUACGAG
rnacentral:lncRNA from 1 species